rnacentral:misc_RNA from 1 species
CCAAUAGCGUAUAUUAAAGUUGUUGCAGUUAAAAAGCUCGUAGUUGAACUUCAGGCCUGUCCAGAUGGUCCGCCUUAAUUGGUGUGUACUGUCCUUGGGUGGGUCCUACCUUCUGGCGAAGCGGCAUGGCCUUAAUUGGUUGUGUCGGGGAAGCAGGACUUUUACUGUGAAAAAAUUAGAGUGUUCAAAGCAGGCAUAAUAUGCUCGAAUACAUUAGCAUGGAAUAAUGGAAUAGGACGAUGGUUCUAUUUUGUUGGUUCUAGGACCGUUGUAAUGAUUAAUAGGGAUAGUUGGGGGCAUUAGUAUUCAAUUGUCAGAGGUGAAAUUCUUGGAUUUAUUGAAGACUAACUACUGCGAAAGCAUUUGCCAAGGAUGUUUUCAUUAAUCAAGAACGAAAGUUAGGGGAUCGAAGACGAUCAGAUACCGUCGUAGUCUUAACCAUAAACUAUGCCGACUAGGAAUCGGGCGAUGUUGACAAAAUGACUCGCUCGGCACCUCAUG